GGGAUGAAAAGGUUGGGUCAGAUCCCUGCGAAUUCAGACAAAAGCCCUUAAUGUUGCUUUUGAUUAAAGGAUGAAUCUGACCGGACAUAAACCUUGGACCCUACGGCACACAUGGGCGGCGCCAGGGGUAUGCCCCUGUAUUCCAUGAAAUACCAAUGAUUUUUGUGAUAAACACAAAUAUAUGUAUAUAUACACAUAUGUAUAAUCAGCAUAUAUGUUAGUUUGUUGAAUAUUGCAAAUAUGUAGCCCAUAAGAGCAACUCCAAUAGUCUGGCUAAAAUUAAUUUGUCAAAUUCUAUUGUUUAGCUAUUUUGUCGAAUAGAAAAUUUCUAAAAAAAAGAAGAGAUCUACAACAAUCUUGUUAUUUUACAAAGUCUUAUAGUUAGCGUCUGUAAUAAGCUAUAUAUAGUCACCGAAAAUCAAGAGAAAGCCAACUUCCUAUUUUUACAAAAUUAGAUAGCAUAUUACUGUCUACUUUUUGCUAUACAAAUUCUGAAAAAGCAUAAACAACAAGAAUAGUUAAACUCUUAAAGUUGCUCUAAGCCUAGUAGAACAACGUCAACUUGUAGCGGCAGCUCAUAACUCAUCAGAAAGAAACUACAUCGACAGUAUUUCUCUAGCGGCGGCGGCGGUCAGUGGUCUGUAGGCUUUCUCAUAUACGCCCCCCUCCCCCUCAACGCCUUUCUCAUAUACCAUAAACACAAAAAUCUCACAUUUACUUUUUAUUCUUUAAAGUAAAAAUUGAAGGUUUCGUUUUUUUUUGUCGCGUUCUGAUUUUUUUUUUUAAAUGUUGCAUUGUGUUCUUGUAAUAUAGAUAAAGAAUUUAUAUAUACUUUGAUUAUUACCAGGAGCGACACUAGGCUCACUUUGCCUGAUGCCUUGUUACCAGGAUAAACAAAUAUUUUAUCUAGCAUAUAUUUUAAGAAAGUUAUAUGUACUGCUUGAGCUGUGUACCAGGAUCAAAUUUGUAGUGAUUUUGUCCCCUAUCACUAUUGCACAUAUACAUUGAAAAUUUUUUAUACGUGGAAUACCCAGCUGUGAAAUCCUGGCUCCGCCACUGACGGCACAUGAUGUAAUCUAAAACCACAAUAGUUGUGCUUUUGAUCCCAUUGUGCAAGUAAUGUUUAAUCAUGCUACUUCUGUACUUGCAUUCAUUGUACUCCACUUCCACUUGUUUUAUUGAGACAGCAUAGCGUCAUACAACUAAUUAUUAUCUCAUGUCAAGUCACACAAUUAAUUAUUAUUUCAUGCCAAUUGGUGCUUUAUCAUGUCCGUUAUGUGCAAUUUUAUCAGAGAAGCCAAUUGUAACCACCUCGUUGAACUAUUC
rnacentral:lncRNA from 1 species